GAAAACGAAGGUGGCAUUAAUGGGCUACUGCAAGAAAAUGACUGAGAGCCACAUGCAGCACGUGAUCGGUCGGUUGAUUCUGAGGAAGGGGUUUAGGCACCCUGCGGUGCAAUGGCGGUGAGGUCUGGCGGCCUUCACAGGCCAGCUGCUUGGGGAUUUCAGCUGGUACCCCCUUUGUCUCCCCUCUUCUGCCCCAGUGAGAAGCGCAGGGCAGACCCAUGUGUGCAGGCAUCUCUGGAACAGAAAGUUAGCGCAUGCUGGAAGCCCGUUGCUCAAUAAAGUAGCAGCCUUGUGCAUUCUUCCAGGAUUUAAGAAAACAACUGGCAGAUGUGAAUGAUUUAUUUUUCCUCCCUCUUCUGCUGCGGUUUAUUUUUUCCUCUUGUUCGAGAGCGCUCAGCUGCUAACACAAACAAUUGCUGAAAUUCCACCUGCCCACCUGCGGCCCCUCCUUCCCGCUGCUCGCCCGGGCCCUCGUCUUCCUCCGAGGGGAACUACAGCCCGCUUUCUUCGAGAGAGGAGGAGGAGGAGGAGGAGGAAGGAGAGGGAGGGGCCGGGCCGCGUCUGGGCGCAUUGUUCAGCGCUCCUCUGCCAAGAAAUAGGUGACUAUGAACUCAUCCCUAGCCCCUCGCGGAAAGUUUGCUCCCUUCCCUCCCCUCCCCUCCCGCCUGCUGGCGCGGCAGGAGGCAGCUCGCAGCCUGGCGCUGGCCCUCCAGUCCCCGCUCCUGCUUAAUAUUCCGCCCGCUCCGCCGAUGUUGUGCUUGGCUCCGGUGGGACUGCAACUCACGGCUUGAAACCGGAGCCAAUUUUCUGUCUUAGUCUCGCAGUGUUUUGACUGGAGGCAGAUCCAGUUCAGUCCGAUCGGGGCUAGUGGAAACAACUACCUAAGUCUCUGCUGUCUGCUUCGUUUGGGAGGGAAGAAAGAAGAAAGAAACGCGAUCCCUAACUGCUGGGCGCGCUCUCUCGCACACACACACACACACACACACACACACACACACACGCACUCGCACACCCCGCGGCGCGCACACACACGGAGACACGCACCGCAGGCACACGCAGGCACACAGGCUCGCAGGGCCGUCGGUGCCGAGCGCGCCGUGCCAACACCGCCGGCAGAAAAUGGGAAGCGAGUGAGCGGAUCCGUGCCGGUGCUGGCGCCCGCGAUGACCCUGGUGCUGCCCAUGCAGCGGCUCGGCCGCCCCAUCGCCGCCGAGGGAGCCGCCGACCUCGCCGCCUACCGCGCCCUCUGGGAGCCGCCCUGCUGCGGCCGCCCCGGCCCC
rnacentral:lncRNA from 1 species